UAGCUCAGACUAUUUUCGCCACAAGGAGUCAUGGUGCAGGGAGAUCUGCUGUCCGCCGCCAUGACUAGGCAUGCACACGCUGUCGUACGGACCUGGCAAGGGCAGUAGGGUAUUCGCUGGUAGUCGGGGAUGGUGCGCGUUGCAUCAUCAGGCAAAGCGCGACGAUCUCGGUUGAUGAAUUCCUCACCGGGAUGGAGCUCCACCGCAGGUCUGUCGCGUGUCGUGGCCAUGGCAUUAGCGCUGCUAGAAUCACAGUGAGCAACCCUUCAACAGUAUGGUAUCGUUACCCUCUAUGUGAUUACUUUCUUUGAUUGGAGUUCGAACAUGGAAGUCAAGCUUGUUUAGAGGUCAGCCAUGGCGCCUCCAUGGGCACUCUGUGCCGCCGUGUGCGGAGUUGGGGAAGAGAGAGUUGAGGGUGAUGUGGUAGAGGAGCGUUGACCAUGGGAUCUUGAUCCUGUGAUCAGGACUGGGUACCAGUUCGUGGGGGGAUCCUGGGCAUUGAAGUUUAAUCUAGCGGACAGGAUGGGUGAGGGAGCUAUACGGAUCGUGGUCAUUGGAUCCUGGAUGAAGAGUGCAGAUGAGAUCCCAGGUUAACCGUUCGACUUUUUAAUCUGGGCGGUCGGGUUUAGAUCCGACGGUUGAGAUGUGCCCAUACCUCUUCGACCUGGCAAAAUCACUAAAGAUACCCUGGACUUUAUAAUAACUAACCCGCCAUCCAGUCCAAUUGGGAAGUAAUUACAGAUAGAUACGAUUUUAUUCAAAAUAGACCCUGCCCAAUAGAACCCACAGUACAUAUAAGCUUUGAAAUUUAUAAAAUAAAUCUGAAAUUGAUUUUUAAUAAAAAAAUAAUUCCAGAACCUUGUAUAAUUCAUAUUUAAUUAAUUUUAACUCCAAAUUGAUUCAUUCCAGUGGCAUUAAUUUUGUUUUAAUGUUGUUUAUCACCAAGUGACUCUGUUUAGCCAUGAAAUUUGGAUUAAAAUUAUUCACUUGAAUUUAGUCUAUACUAAGCACUAGAAACUUAAAAAAUCAUAACUCGAUAACCGUAACUCCGAAUUUAGCGAUUCUUGUUCCUUUGAUCUUGUUACAACAUGUAGAAUAUUCUUACGAAUUUUGUUCUUAUGCUUGGUGUAAUGUUAAUUUUGCCUAUGCCAUGUUUGUUUGUAUUUCUACGACUAGCGCGAGGUUACGAGCCACCUGAAGAGCAAGUUGGUACCUGGAAUCUCAAUUCCCAG
rnacentral:lncRNA from 1 species